rnacentral:rRNA from 1 species
GGAAGGGUAGUGUUUAUUAGAUACAGAACCAACCCACCUUCGGGUGGUCCYCAGGUGAUUCAUAGUAACCGAACGGAUCGCAUUAUGGCCUUUUGGUCGGCGAUGGAUCAUUCAAGUUUCUGACCUAUCAGCUUUCGACGGUACUGUAUUGGACUACCGUGGCAGUGACGGGUAACGGGGAAUUAGGGUUCGAUUCCGGAGAGGGAGCCUGAGAAACGGCUACCACAUCUAAGGAAGGCAGCAGGCGCGCAAAUUACCCAAUCCUGAUUCAGGGAGGUAGUGACAAGAAAUAACAACACUGGAAAUUAUAUUUCUAGUGAUUGGAAUGAUGGGAAUCCAAACCCCUUUCAGAGUAACAAUUGGAGGGCAAGUCUGGUGCCAGCAGCCGCGGUAAUUCCAGCUCCAAUAGCGUAUAUUAAAGUUGUUGCAGUUAAAAAGCUCGUAGUUGGAUAUCUGCUGGGAGCAGCCAGUCCSCCUUAACGGGUGUGCACUUGGUGAAUUCUGGCAUCCUCCUGAUUGGUGUCAUCAUCACUUCAUUGUGUUGGUGGCAGCUGUCAGGACUGUUACUUUGAGAAAAUUAGAGUGUUUCAAGCAGGCUUGUUGCCUUGAAUACUGCAGCAUGGAAUAACAAGAUAGGAUUUCGGYYCUAUUUUGUUGGUUUCUAGGACUGAAGUAAUGAUUAAUAGGGACAGUUGGGGGCAUUCGUAUUUAACUGUCAGAGG